GGUAACACUGAAUGGAGGACCGAACCGACUUACGUUGAAAAGUGAGCGGAUGAACUGAGGGUAGCGGAGAAAUUCCAAUCGAACCUGGAGAUAGCUGGUUCUCUCCGAAAUAGCUUUAGGGCUAGCCUCAAGUGAUGAUUAUUGGAGGUAGAGCACUGUUUGGACGAGGGGCCCCUCUCGGGUUACCGAAUUCAGACAAACUCCGAAUGCCAAUUAAUUUAACUUGGGAGUCAGAACAUGGGUGAUAAGGUCCGUGUUCGAAAGGGAAACAGCCCAGACCACCAGCUAAGGUCCCAAAAUAUAUGUUAAGUGGAAAAGGAUGUGGCGUUGCCCAGACAACUAGGAUGUUGGCUUAGAAGCAGCCAUCAUUUAAAGAGUGCGUAAUAGCUCACUAGUCGAGUGACACUGCGCCGAAAAUGUACCGGGGCUAAACAUAUUACCGAAGCUGUGGAUUGUCCUUUGGACAAUGGUAGGAGAGCGUUCUAAGGGCGUUGAAGCAUGAUCGUAAGGACAUGUGGAGCGCUUAGAAGUGAGAAUGCCGGUGUGAGUAGCGAAAGACGGGUGAGAAUCCCGUCCACCGAUUGACUAAGGUUUCCAGAGGAAGGCUCGUCCGCUCUGGGUUAGUCGGGUCCUAAGCUGAGGCCGACAGGCGUAGGCGAUGGAUAACAGGUUGAUAUUCCUGUACCACCUAUAAUCGUUUUAAUCGAUGGGGGGACGCAGUAGGAUAGGCGAAGCGUGCGAUUGGAUUGCACGUCUAAGCAGUAAGGCUGAGUAUUAGGCAAAUCCGGUACUCGUUAAGGCUGAGCUGUGAUGGGGAGAAGACAUUGUGUCUUCGAGUCGUUGAUUUCACACUGCCGAGAAAAGCCUCUAGAUAGAAAAUAGGUGCCCGUACCGCAAACCGACACAGGUAGUCAAGAUGAGAAUUCUAAGGUGAGCGAGCGAACUCUCGUUAAGGAACUCGGCAAAAUGACCCCGUAACUUCGGGAGAAGGGGUGCUCUUUAGGGUUAACGCCCAGAAGAGCCGCAGUGAAUAGGCCCAAGCGACUGUUUAUCAAAAACACAGGUCUCUGCUAAACCGUAAGGUGAUGUAUAGGGGCUGACGCCUGCCCGGUGCUGGAAGGUUAAGAGGAGUGGUUAGCUUCUGCGAAGCUACGAAUCGAAGCCCCAGUAAACGGCGGCCGUAACUAUAACGGUCCUAAGGUAGCGAAAUUCCUUGUCGGGUAAGUUCCGACCCGCACGAAAGGCGUAACGAUUUGGGCACUGUCUCAACGAGAGACUCGGUGAAAUCAUAGUACCUGUGAAGAUGCAGGUUACCCGCGACAGGACGGAAAGACCCCGUGGAGCUUUACUGUAGCCUGAUAUUGAAAUUCGGCACAGCUU
rnacentral:rRNA from 1 species